CACUCCUGCGGGAGGCAGCAGUGGGGAAUAUUGGACAAUGGGCGCAAGCCUGAUCCAGCCAUGCCGCGUGAGUGAUGAAGGCCCUAGGGUUGUAAAGCUCUUUCACCGGAGAAGAUAAUGACGGUAUCCGGAGAAGAAGCCCCGGCUAACUUCGUGCCAGCAGCCGCGGUAAUACGAAGGGGGCUAGCGUUGUUCGGAAUUACUGGGCGUAAAGCGCACGUAGGCGGAUCGAUCAGUCAGGGGUGAAAUCCCAGGGCUCAACCCUGGAACUGCCUUUGAUACUGUCGAUCUGGAGUAUGGAAGAGGUGAGUGGAAUUCCGAGUGUAGAGGUGAAAUUCGUAGAUAUUCGGAGGAACACCAGUGGCGAAGGCGGCUCACUGGUCCAUUACUGACGCUGAGGUGCGAAAGCGUGGGGAGCAAACAUGAUUAGAAACCCUUGUAGUCCCA
rnacentral:rRNA from 1 species